rnacentral:snRNA from 1 species
UCAUCCAGAUGAUCCAUUUGGAU